rnacentral:tRNA from 1 species
GUCUGUAGCGAAGCGGUCAAACGCGCCUGACUGUAAAUCAGGUGGCCUUGUGCCUUCGGGGGUUCGAAUCCCUCCGGGCC